ACUCAAAGGAAUUGACGGGGGCCCGCACAAGCAGUGGAGUAUGUGGUUUAAUUCGAAGCAACGCGAAGAACCUUACCAGGGCUUGACAUCCGACUAACGAAGCAGAGAUGCAUAAGGUGCCCUUCGGGGAAAGUCGAGACAGGUGGUGCAUGGUUGUCGUCAGCUCGUGUCGUGAGAUGUUGGGUUAAGUCCCGCAACGAGCGCAACCCUUACGGUUAGUUGCUACGCAAGAGCACUCUAGCCGGACUGCCGUUGACAAAACGGAGGAAGGCGGGGACGACGUCAAAUCAUCAUGCCCCUUAUGUCCUGGGCUACACACGUACUACAAUGGCGGCCACACAACGGGCAGCGACCCAGCGAUGGGUAGCCAAUCCCAAAAAGCCGCCCCAGUUCGGAUCGCAGGCUGCAACCCGCCUGCGUGAAGUCGGAAUUGCUAGUAAUCGCGGAUCAGCAUGCCGCGGUGAAUACGUUCCCGGGCCUUGUACACACCGCCCGU
rnacentral:rRNA from 1 species